rnacentral:ncRNA from 1 species
AAGGUUGAUAACAACGUGCGCAUAGCGGCGAUAACAGGGAGAUCGUAAAGACGCUGUAAAUCCAUCCCUGUAAGCUUAAGCCGCGCCAUCCCUGGCGCGGAUGCUUU